UCCGAGUUGACCCCGGCAGUCUCGCAUGAGUCCCCACCACCCCCGAAAGGGCGUGCUGGCAACAUGCGACAAGGGUUGCGCUCGUUGCGGGACUUAACCCAACAUCUCACGACACGAGCUGACGACAGCCAUGCACCACCUGUACACCGACAAAAAGGGCCCCCAUCUCUGAGGGUUUCCGGCGUAUGUCAAACCCAGGUAAGGUUCUUCGCGUUGCAUCGAAUUAAUCCGCAUGCUCCGCCGCUUGUGCGGGCCCCCGUCAAUUCCUUUGAGUUUCAGCCUUGCGGCCGUACUCCCCAGGCGGGGCACUUAAUGCGUUAGCGCCGGCACCCAGGGGGUCGCUCCCCCAGGCACCUAGUGCCCAUCGUUUACGGCGUGGACUAC
rnacentral:misc_RNA from 1 species